CGAUCUGAGCUCAGGCAAGAAC
rnacentral:rRNA from 1 species